GACGAACGCUGGCGGCGUGCUUAACACAUGCAAGUCGAACGGUAAGGCCCUUUCGGGGGUACACGAGUGGCGAACGGGUGAGUAACACGUGGGUGAUCUGCCCUGCACUUUGGGUUAAGCCUGGGAAACUGGGUCUAAUACCGGAUAGGACUACGCGAUGCAUGUCGUGUGGUGGAAAGCUUUGGCGGUGUGGGAUGGGCGCGCGGCCUAUCAGCUUGUUGGUGGGGUGGUGGCCUACCAAGGCGACGACGGGUAGCCGGCCUGAGAGGGUGACCGGCCACACUGGGACUGAGAUACGGCCCAGACUCCUACGGGAGGCAGCAGUGGGGAAUAUUGCACAAUGGGCGGAAGCCUGAUGCAGCAACGCCGCGUGCGGGAUGACGGCCUUCGGGUUGUAAACCCCUUUCGCCUCUGACGAAGCGUGAGUGACGGUAAUGGCAAAAGAAGCACCGGCUAACUACGUG
rnacentral:rRNA from 1 species